CUUCCUCUCCUUUCCAUUUCAUUUUGGUCCAUAAACUAAGCCCUUGUUUUUUUUAGUCACUCAAAAGAAUAAGGCAAACAAUCUAAUCUUUCCUUCUUCACCUUCGAACCAGAGACCCAAAAAGGAAAGCAGAUUAAACCCUUCCUUCUCCUGAUAAUCGAAAUUUAGGGCAAACUAAAUUUCAUUCAUCUCCUAGCUUGAGUACUCACAAGAUUCAUUGCAAGCUUCAUCUCCUUGCCAUCAUUUUCGAGUGAACCAAAACUCCAUGAGUGUGCUAUUUUUCUUGAUUGAUUAUUGGUGUAAACAAAAUUAAGGUUUGAAUCUCUCAAUUUCUAUGUGUUAUUUUACUCCAUUCUUCUCUCAUUCUUCUGAUUUUCCUCUCAAGAAUCGAACCCUAGCCCAUCUUUGAUUGGAUUUUCAAUUUACAUCAACAUUUUGUGGUUAUUUUUCUCCAUUGAAGGAGAAUUCAUAAAGCAGCAGUCGAAUCCCUCUUUCCAAGACCUUAAAAUUCUGCCGAAUGGGGGAAAACAAAUGAGGUUUGGUUCUGUUUGAUUAGGCAUCGAGGUUCAAGCUGGAAAUUUGUUUUCGAAUCUUAUUUUUUGUUCGUUCCUUGCUGCUGUCAAACAGAAGGUUUGUAGUUUAGCAUCGAAUGCUCUUUCGUGAUGUUGUGAUUUGUUAUGCUUUAGGAGGCGAUAUCAUUGAGGAUCCUUUCUAGUGAUCGCAGAGAACCAGACUUAGCUCCUUGAAGCGUCUUUGGUGAUUGUUGAGUAGUAACAGUCCCUUAAAGGGGUCUGAUCAGACUAUAUUUCUUGAAAAUAAUUUUAUUGAAACUAUUUGGAAAUUAAAAUUUGUUGAGACAAAUGUUGUGUGACCGCUUAUGUUGAUAUUAUGAUUGGUCAAUGGUUCGGGCUUGCGAGCUGGUCAUUGACGGAGUUGAGGGACAUUGCCGAGGCGAGAUGUCAUUUGGAUAUUGACUAGCUUCACUUGAGAGCGACAUGGCCUUAGAGCUAUGGGGCACCUUCAAACUAGACUCCCUGUGCGCACAUAGAUUUAGGAAACUAAUGUUCUUUUAAACCUAUGAUUUGAAUUAUUGUGUUUUGUUGUUUUGGAUUGUUACUUCUCAUUCUGUUCAACCUGACUCCCUGUUGUUUCCAUCUUUUAGAUUGUUUACAAAUCGGAACCGGUCGGAAAUGAUGGGCUAGUGGUGAUGAUUAGAGUUACAUGGAUGAUAUAUUGAGCCGAGUUCAUGAGAAUUUGUAGUAUUGUAUUAGGUUUUUGAUAAAUGUAUAUUAGACUUGGUUGUGUUGGUUAUAUUGGACUUUUAGAAUAACUUUUAUGAUUACUUUGUAUUUUAGUUAGAUGUUUGGUUUGAGAAUUAGUUGAGUUAGUUACGUUAAAGAACUGGUGACUCUUUUGCUCAAGUUUUAGAAGUGUGAUUUUAAUUUCUUGGAAAAUAAUCCCCGUGAUAACCCUAUUUACUUAGUCAACGAUAAGUCGGGUUGUUACA